ensembl:lncRNA novel transcript
UCCGGGAGACUCUGCAGAUGUAUUUUUAUCCACCAACAAACGGGAUUUGCUAGAAAGAAGGAGCUUGGGUGAAUGGAAGAGUAAAAAUGAAGUACAACUAUGAAGUUACAGAAUUAUUCCCAGUCUUUAAAAAUCUUCAAAACUUCACUUCGUUCAGAACUUCCAAUUAUACAGAAGAGGCUGUCAACUCCAUUAACAAAGCUUUUUUUUCCUUUCACUGGAUUUCAAACCACUGGCUACAGUGAGUUCUGCUGCCACAUCCUGGGUCAUCGAUUCUGCCAUUGGUGUCCUAGGACAGCAUUAAGACCUUCAGCUGUCUUCUGAUUGAGGACAAGAUCAUGGUGUCUCAUCGUCCCCACCCCACUGUAAUUCAAAAUAAAAACAAUGCUAAACCACAAAA